rnacentral:rRNA from 1 species
GACGAACGCUGGCGGCGUGCUUAACACAUGCAAGUCACGGGGGUCCGCAAGGGCAACCGGCGAACGGGUGCGUAACACGUGAGCAACCUGCCUUUGUGUGGGGGAUAGCCGGCCCAACGGCCGGGUAAUACCGCAUACGUUCUGUGAGGGGAGUCCCUUGCAGAGGAAACCUCCGGGGCACAAAGAGGGGCUCGCGGCCUAUCAGCUAGUUGGCGGGGUAAUGGCUCACCAAGGCGACGACGGGUAGCNGGUCUGAGAGGAUGGCCAGCCACAUUGGGACUGAGAGACGGCCCAGACUCCUACGGGAGGCAGCAGUGGGGAAUCUUGCGCAAUGG